rnacentral:misc_RNA from 1 species
GUGAAUCAUCGAAUUUUUGAACGCAAAUUGCACUCCCUGGUAUUCCGGGGAGUAUGCCUGUUUGAGGGUCGUUAGAACAAAAAAUCUAUGCGUCGCUCUUUUUUUUUAGGGUGUUCGCUGCGGAAUAGAGCCGUCUUUCAAAUGUUAAUUCAUGUCAAAGUGGCUUAGAAUUCAUCCAUACGGUAUGACUAAGGCAUCUUUAAGAUCAGCUU